UCCAACUUUUGAACUGCCCAAAAU
rnacentral:miRNA from 1 species